ensembl:snRNA U6 U6 spliceosomal RNA
GUGCUCACUUCAGCAGCACAUACACUAAAAAAGGAACAGAGAAGAUUACCAUGGCCCCUGCACAAGGAAGACAUGCAAAUUAGUGAAGUGUUCCAUAUUAAA